rfam:Camelus ferus unplaced genomic scaffold scaffold1664, whole genome shotgun sequence.
GGGGGUAUAGCUCAGUGGUAGAGCGCAUGCUUAGCAUGCAUGAGGUCCUGGGUUCGAUCCCCAGUACCUCCA